AGAUAGCCUCCAUAAAUGUUAGGAUAAAAACUAACGUCGUUUAGCCAUAAAAACCAGCAAAGAAAAAUCCAUGGUAGUGGAGAUCUUGAGGUGAUUACAAUUGAUGCUAAUAAUCUGGGUAGUGUUGUAUAUGUACUAUAAUAAUAUUCACGCAACAUUGGUUAAGGUAAUAAAAUCUAUUUUGCAAAACAUGGAAGUGAGGAUUGAACUUACAUGGCGAGGGAAAUUUUGCACAAUUUCA
rnacentral:misc_RNA from 1 species